ACGGCCGAGAAGAUGACGGACAUGCGCCACAGCCAGUAGGAGUGGAAGACGGGACUGAGCGGCGGGUACUGCCCCCAAUGGCUCUGCGAGCUCCCGGUCCCGGCGUCUGGAGCGGGCCAUUCAGACGCGUGGGGCCGGGCCUGGCGGACGCUUGUUGUUGUCCGGCCCGGGGAGGUAGAGGUCGUUCGCUCGCUUGCUCGGGCCUUCUGUGGCGGUCGGCGGGCAGGUCGGUCGCGAUAGUCGGGCGCCGUGCACGGGCGAGGCUAUGUCGCGGUGGCAGCUCGGAUGGGCCGGCGGGGCCGGGAGUAACGGGACGUCGCUGCGGAGCUUCUUUCCCCGGAUACAGUGCGGCCCGAGCGGAGGCCGCGGCGCCGCACUCCGGUCCUGAGGCGUCCGCGCUACCCGGGGCCCGCACCGCCUUCUCACCCGCACCGACGCCAAUCGACCUGACCCUGCCUGGUCCGGUCCGGCCCGAUUGAGCGCAGAGUAAGCAGGCAGCAGUAGCCCUUUGGAGCACAGGACCUCCUCCCCGAGGACAUGAAGCUGUUGGAGAACUCCAGCUUCGAGGCCAUCAACUCGCAGCUGACCGUGGAGACGGGAGAUGCCCACAUCAUUGGCAGGAUUGAGAGCUACUCGUGUAAGAUGGCGGGCGAUGACAAGCACAUGUUCAAGCAGUUCUGCCAGGAGGGCCAGCCACAUGUGCUGGAGGCGCUGUCCCCACCCCAGACCUCGGGCCUCAGCCCCAGCAGACUGAGUAAGAGCCAGGGUGGCGAGGAUGAGGGCCCCCUCAGCGACAAGUGCAGCCGCAAGACUCUCUUCUACCUGAUCGCCACGCUCAACGAGUCCUUCCGGCCGGACUACGACUUCAGCAGAGCCCGGAGCCACGAGUUCAGCCGGGAGCCCAGCCUCAGCUGGGUGGUGAACGCAGUCAACUGCAGCCUGUUCUCCGCUGUUCGGGAGGACUUCAAGGCCCUGAAGCCGCAGCUGUGGAACGCGGUGGAUGAGGAGAUCUGCUUGGCUGAGUGCGACAUCUACAGCUACAACCCAGACCUGGACUCAGAUCCCUUCGGGGAAGAUGGCAGCCUCUGGUCCUUCAACUACUUCUUCUACAACAAGCGGCUGAAACGGAUCGUGUUCUUCAGCUGCCGCUCUAUCAGCAGGCUGGGGGUAGGCGGUUUUAAGACUGGUCCCCCCCACCCCCAGUGGAUCCACCUACACUCCGUCGGAGGCAGGCAAUGAGCUGGACAUGGAGCUCGGGGGAGAGGAGGAGGAGGAGAGUGGAGGUGGAGGCCGCGAGGGCGGCCACGAGGAGACCAGCACCAUGGAAGAGGACAGGGUUCCGGUGAUCUGUAUGUGAAGAGGAGGAACAGAGGCCCUCGCUUCACCCAGCUUCAAACAGUGCCUGGACCUGCCCACCUGAGGGGCCACAGGUCCUCCACAGCUGCUGGCCAGAUCCUGGCGCUACCACAGCACCAGCGCCACUCCAGGCCACACCUGCCUAGCCCUUUGGCUGUAGCCUGUGGAUGUCCCCUCAGCCCCACAGGCUCCCGCUGCCCACGCUGUGGCUGGACUGGACAGCAACGGCACAGGGCCUGGUGGGAAGAGCCACUGCCCCGCCCAAACGAACUGACACGGGCAGGGACAGCUGGACCACAGAGUUUAUUUUUGUAUUUUGUGCAGGGUCAGGCCUGGACCUGCACACUCCAGCCCAAAGGGCCGGAGACCCAGCAGGCGGUCCCCAGGGGUCAUCCGCCCACUUGUACUCCCCACCUUGCCCAUCGGGCAGCGUGCACUGAGUGUCACUUUGCUGCAGCUGGUUUGCUUCCAAUAAAAGUUCCUGUGACUC